AUGUGGCAGAUGAGUUGGACAACC
rnacentral:miRNA from 1 species